CUCUUAGAUGUUCUGGGCCGCACGCGUGCUACACUGAGUGGAUCAGCGGGUCAGGUUGCGCGAAAGCGUUUCCUAAUCUUUAAAUCCGCUCGUGAUGGGGAUUGACGGUUGCAAUUUUCUGUCAUGAACGAGGAAUACCUUGUAAGCGCGGGUCAUCAUCCCGCGCUGAAUACGUCCCUGCCCUUUGUACACACCGCCCGUCGCUCCUACCGAUUGAGUGGUCCGGUGAGGCUUUGGGAUCUGAGCGGAAAGAGCGUUUCGCUGUUUCUGCCCGGAAAACUCAGUCGAACCUUAUCAUUUAGAGGAAGGAGAAGUCGUAACA
rnacentral:rRNA from 1 species